ACAGUUUGAAGGAUCUGAACAGGUAUUCAUCUUAUACUGAAAUUCUGUGGUAUUUAAUUAUCUGCCUUUGAAAAUCUUUUCAUGGUGCUACUAUUGUUUGAGUGACAGAUUUUUUUUUUCCCUGUAAGGAACAACACCAACAGAAAUACAAGCCCUGUGUAAAAACAUUCCCUUAUGAACUUACUGCCUGUUAGUCUCUUUCUAGCUAUCCCAUUUCCUAUCUUCCUACAAGCUAAAAGAAGAAAAAAGCAAGUCUUGAAAGACAAACAAAUGUUAGCAAAUGGAGGCUGUUGCAGUGCAAAAGUGGGAUUAAUUUCACCUAAAUUUAGGGAGCAGGGUGUUUCUUGGAGGAAGGCAGGGCUAUGAAAGUCUGCAGUUCUUCAUUCCUUGAAGAGGAUCCUUUGAAACCUCAGAGAGAGCCCUGUGGGUCUGAGAAGGUCUGCCCAGAGGAACAAGAAGCACUUCCUAAGGAAAAGUCUCCAGAAUCAGAACCACAACUGGAAGUUUUUUGGGGAAAUGUAUUUGUCUUUUGUUUAACUAUAGUAUUAAGCACAGGUACAGUGCUCUAUAAGCAAAAAUCAUAUGUUGUGAAUCUUUAACCAGAGCUGCUAAUCACAGCAUUUAAAUGUACUCAUACAUGCUAGGUCACUUUCCACAGUA
rnacentral:lncRNA from 1 species